UUUUCAUUUAAAGUUUUUAUUUUAAUAAUCAGAGAACGGACAAUGUUUAAUGAAACAUUAUUGUUUUUUCCUCCAAAGUUGCUCAUCGAUCGAGGAGACAGAGACGACAGAGAUAGGAUGUAUCCGACUUUAUUGUUCCUGAUACUUUUACUUUCCCUCUUAAUUCCCAUUUAUUUAUUACUGAGUAUAAAAUAUCCAUAUUUCACUUCUACCCUAGUCAGCAUCAAUGAACCAACAAAUUAAUAUUCAGACAUUUGAGGCUGUGUUGUUGGUCUUGCUUGGCAGUUCAGGUACCAUAGACCUCUUUCCACUCCUGAGUAGUUAAAUUUGUUUGUUGAACGGAGUACUCAUCUUCAGGUAUUACAGUAUAUAUUUUAAGUAAGUGCUUUUACUGAUGAUGUAGUUAUUAUGACUUGGGGUUUUUGAUAUCUGUUAGAAAGGGUUGAGAUGAUUUUAGGGGCAGUGGGUUUCAUUUUCAUAGUUGGGGUACAGCAAGAAAGUGAUUUUUUUUUUUUUUUUGGUGUGAAAAUGAAUUAUUAAAGAGGGUUUAUUUUUAUUUAUUAUUUAUUUUUUAGGGUUUAGGGUUUGAGUGUAGUUGCAACAUGGCAGGGGAUUCCCCUAAACCCUAAUGUCAGAGUACCAAUUUGGCAGCUAGUUUUUGUUUUUGUUUUUUGGCUCGGUUAUACCGGAUUGAGGCACACAAGGGCCGGAAGGAAAAUAUUUUGGGAGUGAAAGUGAAAGGAUUGAUUCAAUUUGAAGUCUUAAUAUAAUCAAAUGAGUCUUCAAGAAGGGGUUUCUUGGCUCAAGGGGGUGUGAGCUCCUUCUUUGUUGACAUUAUUUUUGGACCAGUGCUUGGAUAGAUGGUUGAUAGUGUAUUGGUGCUAUUACAGCCUACCAUAUUUGUCAGUUUUCAUUGUCAAUGUGUAACUAAUUUCACCAUACGAGUCACAGUGCCAAAAUGAUUUUAGUUUUUAUGUAAUUUGAGUCUAAAAUCACUGUGAUCAGUCAAGUAUAACCCCACCAUUGAUGUGCAUGCUUUGCAAUCAGUUAUGAAUAAGUCUGAAAGGUUUCAAUGUCUUGUUUUUCCUAAUGAGCUUUGUAAGCUGCAAGGUCAUAGAACAUAGGCAUUAAGGUGCAGUUCAUUCAAGGUUUGAAUAUUCAGAACAGCUAUAAUUCUUUGCCUUCUAUGCUUCAAGAGUUACUUGAUUAAAUUUACAAAUAUACUCUAGAUAAAGAUAUGUGUUCUCUUUAGUUUACAUUGACAUUUGAGAAAAUAGCACAUACAAUUUGUUCUACUGAACACCAGUCUGUUAAUUUCUAUAACAUACAGUUUAGUCAUAAUAAAAAUACAAUUGUUACAGUUUGGUCAUCAUAUAAACAAAAUUUAACAUUUUUUGAAACUUCGAACAUUCUAUAUGAUGAUUGAUGCAGGUUACUAUUAUUCAAAUAUAAGCUGAAAUUUGCCAAUAUAACUACCUGACAGAUAGCUGUCUGUUUUUGUUCCUUUCAAAAGAUGGCGAAUGAAGAUUCACAAAGUAUAAGCCUCAAGGUGCUGGUGGAAAAAGAGAAAAAUCGAUUUGUUUUUUGCUGAGGCUAAUAAUGAUUUUGUUGAUGUCCUCUUUAGCUUCAUGACUAUGCCUACCAGAAACAAUAUCCGACUUACUCGUGAACACUCAUUAGAAGUGGACUUUGGUUGUUUCAACAACUUAUAUGAAAGCAUUGAGAAUCUUGACGUUGAACAUGUACAAAGUGUGAGUGCAAGGACAUGCUGCUUCGUCCUCGAAGUGCAGCAGAAAUUUACUGCAGGAGUCUAAAACUUAAUGCUGUUGAUAGUGAUACUAAUGACUACCAUACCUGCUAUGGCCAUCAAUGUUUGGGUACUUGCUGCAAUGCUCUCUGCCAUUGUGGACAGUACAUGGGUUACACUUGCAACCUGAAAAGCCCAUUGGGGUGUUUGUGAAACCUACCACAAGGUUUAUGAUAACAGAUGACUUUCAUGUAAAGCCCAUUUCAACCAUGACAGGCUUAACCCUGCUUAGUAAGUUUGGAGCUACCGAUAGAAGCAUAAGAGAAGAAAGGACUAUAAGUAUGGAAAGGGACAAGGUAAUGAAGUAGUUUACUUUUUAGUGUUUCCAUGAACAAAAUGAAUUCUCUCUCUCUCUCUCUCAGGUUCUGAAAUGGCUCAUGUGUUCAUUAACAUCAAGGGUGCCAUUCUCAGAGACCAUUUUGGAACCAGCCAUUGACAAAAAAAGUUUUGACAUUUGUCUCCAAGAAGCAUGGAUCAAUCUCAAAGGACUAUGAACUGGGAAAAAUGGGGAACAAAGAUAAGUUUGAAGGGGAACAAAGAUAAGUGUGAAGCUUAUCAUCAACAAAUCUAAUAACAGGGUAUUGUAUGCAGAAGCAAAAGAAGAUUUUGUUGAUCUUAUUAGCAGUUUCCUCACAUUUCCACUUGGUUACGUCUUUGAAAAAUUUGCAUACUUGUCCUUAGGGGAUGCUUGGGUAACCAAGAUUUUGAUGCGGAGGUAUUCUUUAAAUCUGAGGAGAUGAAAUCGAUUUUGGUCAAUCCAAAGCUGGCCCGUGGUCUUGCUUUGGAAAAACAGCUCAUUCCCAUCGAGGAAGCUUCAUAUCCAUCUUUCUCUACUGUUACUUCCCUUUUUAUUGUUGGACACAUGCUACGGGACAAAAAUAAUUGGCAAUGGAUUCAUUAGGGGACCUUCCAUGUUCAUGGUGACAGAUGAUUUCACCAUUACGCUUUUAUCUUAAUUCUUGGGCUUAUCUUUUAUUGACAGAUUGAAUAUUCCUCUUGGUGACAUUUUAGAGCAAGAAGUGACCAUGGGUGAUGAGGAGGCUUUACAUCUCUUGGAAGCUGCUUUGGUGUUGAAAACUACUCUGACUGACAUUUUCGUACUCAAGAAAUCAAAGCAGAAACUUGAUGACUUGGGGAAGAAAAGAAGAAAAAAAUUGCAAAAACUGAGUGACUUGGGGAAAAAAAGGAUAAAAAAAGCAAAAACUCAAUGAGGAUACAGACAAUUGAUGCAUGAAUGAAAAAGAAACUCUACAAAAAUUCAGUAACAAAUGAACUUGGUGUAAACUUUUCCUUUUGUAGAAUUUAUUUCAAUUGCUUAUUUUAUUUUAUUUUAAUUUAGGGUUCAUAUAUGUUCUCAACCAUAGACUCAAAUAUCAGUUGUAAUUAAACUAUGCAACUUUGUUUUUGUCCCAGUUGUGGUAGUCAUUGGUUGUGUAAGCAUGGUGUUAUUGAUGAAAAUUUUGGUUCUAUUUCUAUAUGAUGCCCAAUAUUGUUGCUUUUGUUGUCA